rnacentral:rRNA from 1 species
AGCAGCCGCGGUAAUUCCAGCUCCAAUAGCGUAUAUUAAAGUUGCUGCAGUUAAAAAGCUCGUAGUUGAAUUUCGGGACUAAUAUGUCGGUCGUGCCUCGGUACGUACUGGUUUAUUGGUUUCUCCUUUCUGAAGAACCAUGAUGUCAUUUAUUUGGUGUCGUGGGGAAUCAGGACUGUUACUUUGAAAAAAUUAGAGUGUUUAAAGCAGGCUCACGCUUGAAUACAUUAGCAUGGAAUAAUGAAAUAGGACGUUUGAUUCUAUUUUGUUGGUUUCUAGGAUCGACGUAAUGAUUAAUAGGGAUAGUUGGGGGCAUUAGUAUUCAAUUGUCAGAGGUGAAAUUCUUGGAUUUAUUGAAGACUAACUACUGCGAAAGCAUUUGCCAAGGAUGUUUUCAUUAAUCAAGACGAAAGUUAGGGAUCGAAGACGAUCAGAUACCGUCGUAGUCUU